CAGCCGCCGCGGGAAUACGAAGGGGGCUAGCGUUACUCGGAAUUACUGGGCGUAAAGGGCGCGUAGGCGGCACGAUUAGUCAGGCGUGAAAUUCCUGGGCUCAACCUGGGGACUGCGCUUGAUACGGUCGAGCUAGAGGAUGGAAGAGGGUCGUGGAAUUCCCAGUGUAGAGGUGAAAUUCGUAGAUAUUGGGAAGAACACCGGUGGCGAAGGCGGCGACCUGGUCCAUUACUGACGCUGAGGCGCGACAGCGUGGGGAGCAAACAGGAUUAGAUACCCCCGUAGUCCCUGUCUCUUAUAC
rnacentral:rRNA from 1 species